rnacentral:rRNA from 1 species
CCCUUAGAUGUUCUGGGCCGCACGCGCGCUACACUGAUGCAUUCAACGAGCCUAUCCUUGACCGACAGGUCCGGGUAAUCUUUGAAUCUGCAUCGUGACGGGGAUAGAUUAUUGCAAUUAUUAAUCUUCAACGAGGAAUGCCUAGUAGGCGCAAGUCAUCAGCUUGCGUCGAUUACGUCCCUGCCCUUUGUACACACCGCCCGUCGCUCCUACCGAUUGGGUGUGCUGGUGAAAUGUUCGGAUCGGCCGUUUGUCGCAGUUUCCGCGUCAUGUGGCUGAGAAGUUCAUUAAACCCUCCCACCUAGAGGAAGGAGAAGUCGUAACA